CGGGGUGUAGCGCAGUCUGGUAGCGCACCUGCCUUGGGCGCAGGUGGUCGCAGGUUCGAAUCCUGUCACCCCGACCA
rnacentral:tRNA from 1 species